UACGAAGGGGGCUAGCGUUGCUCGGAAUCACUGGGCGUAAAGGGUGCGUAGGCGGGUCUUUAAGUCAGGGGUGAAAUCCUGGAGCUCAACUCCAGAACUGCCUUUGAUACUGAAGAUCUUGAGUUCGGGAGAGGUGAGUGGAACUGCGAGUGUAGAGGUGAAAUUCGUAGAUAUUCGCAAGAACACCAGCGGCGAAGGCGGCUCACUGGCCCGAUACUGACGCUGAGGCACGAAAGCGUGGGGAGCAAACAGG
rnacentral:rRNA from 1 species